rnacentral:rRNA from 1 species
GAUCCUGGCUCAGGAUGAACGCUGGCGGCGUGCUUAACACAUGCAAGUCGAACGAGGCACUUUUACAGAUUUCUUCGGAAUGAAGUUUUAGUGACUGAGUGGCGGACGGGUGAGUAACGCGUGGGUAACCUGCCUCACACAGGGGGAUAACAGUUGGAAACGGCUGCUAAUACCGCAUGAGCGCACAGUACCGCAUGGUACAGUGUGAAAAACUCCGGUGGUGUGAGAUGGACCCGCGU